rnacentral:lncRNA from 1 species
AUGAUCCUUGAGUUCUGCCGUCCACAGACAGCUACGUGUUAACAGCUCAGUUGGCCCAUUGCCUCGUCAUGUGGGGCAGCUGUCCACCAGCGAGGGCAAAGGGCCAUUGUGACAGUCCACAAUUCAGAUGAGCCAGUUUAUCAAUCUGAGUGGUGCCAGCAGAUCCAUCAAGUGCAGGGUCUGCAAAAUAUCUCAAGCACUGAUCUUAGGUUUUACAAUAGUGAUAUUAUCCCCAGGAGCAAUUUGGGGAAGGUCAGAAUCUCAUAGUCUCCAGCUGCAUGAUUCCUAAACCAUAAUUUCUAAUCUUGUUGCUAAUUUGUUAGUCUUCCAAAGGCUGUCUAGUCCCCAGGCAAGAAGGGGUUUUAUUCUGGGAGAGGGCUGUUAUUGUCUGUUUUAAACUAUGAACUAUAAACUAAGUUUCUCCCAAAGUUAGUUCAGCUAACGCUGGGGAAUGAACAAGGACAGCUUGGAGGUUAGAAGCAAGAUGGAGCUGGUUAGGUCAGAUCUCUUUCACUGUCUCAGUAGUAAAUUUUGCAAUGGCAGUUUCACUUGUGCUUUGAAAUCCUAAUACAAAUGUUUUCAAAAGUGAGGAGUGGUGCAUCUCCUUUGUUUUGCUUUGGCAAAGGUAUAUUCAAGGGUCAUAGAAAGUUCCUUGAGUGACAUCACAUUCAUGGGGCCCCCCUGCCCCAUCAGUACCUUGG